rnacentral:rRNA from 1 species
UGCGGUGGUCAUAGCAUGGGGGAAACGCCCGGUCCCAUCCCGAACCCGGAAGCUAAGGCCCAUAGCGCUGAUGGUACUGCACCCUCAAGGGUGUGGGAGAGUAAGACACCGCCGCAC